AUGCCUCAAUUGAUAAAGUGAACUAAUUGCCUACUUCAAAAGCAGUUUUGCAUGAAAGUCAACAUCUAAUUGGAAUUUACAAUGCCCGAUAUUUCUACACAUCCGCCACAAAUUUUAUGGAAAACAAUAUUUAUGGAAACUGAACAUACCUUGGUUAAACGUAUAUGAAAUGGAUUAUCAUCAUUGAAGAACAUCAACCAGCUGUCGGCAAUGUGCAGGUGGACUGAGGAAUUUUCCGGUGUAUCCUUUAUGGACUGUACUCCGACUUAGCACUAUCCUCAAGUUUUACCCGAGAGGCCAUGCUUCAGUUGGACCGUCUUCCAUAUAUCUACUGACUUCAUAUAAACGAAAGUCUCGCUGAUCUGCACAACCAGCUCAUGUUCAACGUUACUGAACUACAAAGUAAUCCGACAAUCAGACUGGACCCGGUCAUAUCAGGUAAGUUUACAUACCUACUGCGUACCACAUUCAUACUAUUUCUGAACCUCAGUAAAAUAUGGUUUUAUAGUAGUAAUGGUGCUUAUUAUCUAUGCCUACUUAACAGGAAUAUUACAAGUUUCAAUCAAUUUUCAUAAAAUUAUUUGAGCAAUUGUGACAAUGAGCAAGCAGUGAUGGAGUUAAGGUAUGGCGAGGUACGACCUCCCAGAUGCUGGUAAUGCUAAUAUUUCGUAGGAUAUGUUUGACAUGGUUGUAAUGAAGUACAGUAU